rnacentral:rRNA from 1 species
UAUUAUUUAAAAUGUAAAUAUUAAUACUUAAGUAGUAGUAGUUAUGUUCUUGAAACUUAAAAAAUUUGGCGGUAUUUUAGUCUAUCCAGAGGAACCUGUUUUGUAAUCGAUAAUCCACGAUGGACCUUACUUAAAUUUGUAAUCAGUUUAUAUACCGUCGUUAUCAGAAUAUUUUAUAAGAAUAAAAAUAUUCAAUAAUUUUUAUAAAAAUUUAUAUCAGAUCAAGGUGUAGCUUAUAUUUGAGUAUUAAUGGGUUACAAUAAAUUUAUUUAAACGGAUAAAAUUAUGAAAAAAUUUUUGAAGGUGGAUUUGGUAGUAAAAUUAUAAAGAUUAAUAAUUUGAUUUUAGCUCUAAAAUAUGUACACAUCGCCCGUCGCUCUUACUAUUAAGGUAAGAUAAGUCGUAACAUAGUAGAUGUACUGGAAAGUGUAUCUAGAAUGA